AGUGAACGCUGGCGGUAGGCCUAACACAUGCAAGUCGAACGGCAGCGCAGUAAGAGCUUGCUCUUACGGGUGGCGCGUGGCGGACGGGUGAGGAAUACAUCGGAAUCUACUUUUUCGUGGGGGAUAACGUAGGGAAACUUACGCUAAUACCGCAUACGACCUACGGGUGAAAGCCGGGGAUCUUCGGACCUUGCGCGAUUGAAUGAGCCGAUGUCGGAUUAGCUAGUUGGCGGGGUAAAGGCCCACCAAGGCGACGAUCCGUAGCUGGUCUGAGAGGAUGAACAGCCACACUGGAACUGAGACACGGUCCAGACUCCUACGGGAGGCAGCAGUGGGGAAUAUUGGACAAUGGGCGCAAGCCUGAUCCAGCCAUACCGCGUGGGUGAAGAAGGCCUUCGGGUUGUAAAGCCCUUUUGUUGGGAAAGAAAAGCAGCAGGUUAAUACCCCGCUGUUCUGACGGUACCCAAAGAAUAAGCACCGGCUAACUUCGUG
rnacentral:rRNA from 1 species